CCGGACCCCACUGCUAUCGGGAUAGGACUAAGACAUGCUAGUCAUGCGCUUUCUAGCUAAUGUGAGAGCGCGGCAUACAGCUCAGUAACACGUGGCUAACCUGCCCUUGGGACGGAAACACCCCCGGGAAACUGGGGUUAAUUUCCGAUAGGUGAAAAAUUCUGGAAUGAAUUUUCGCUCAAAAGACGUUUAUGUCAUGCUCAUAGGCGUUGCCCAGGGAUGGGGCCGCGACCGAUCAGGUUGUUGGUGAGGUAAUGGCUCACCAAGCCUUUUACCGGUACGGGCCGUGAGAGCGGGAGCCCGGAGAUGGGCACUGAGACAAGGGCCCAGGCCCUACGGGGCGCAGCAGUCGCGAAAACUUUGCAAUACACGAAAGUGUGACAAGGCUAUCCCGAGUGCCAUCCGCUGAGGAAGGCUUUUACCCAGUAUAAAUAGCUGGGAGAAUAAGGAGAGGGCAAGUCUGGUGUCAGCCGCCGCGGUAAUACCAGCUCUCCGAGUAGUGUGGAUGUUUAUUGGGCCUAAAGCAUCCGUAGCUUGCUAAGCAAGUCCCCUGUUAAAUCCACCGAUUCAAUCGUUGGAUUGCGGGGGAUACUGUUUGGCUAGGGGACGGGAGAGGCCGACGGUAUUUCCGGGGUAGGGGUGAAAUCCUAUAAUCCCGGGAGGACCACCAGUGGCGAAGGCUGUCGGCUAGAACGCGCCCGACGGUGAGGGAUGAAAAGCUGGGGGAGCGAACCGGAUUAUAUACCCGGGUAGUCCCAGCUGUAAACGAUGCAAGCUAGGUGAUUGGGGA
rnacentral:rRNA from 1 species